AGCUUUGUGCAUUGGCAGUGUCACAGUCAAUGAGGUUUAUCUGAGGCAUGAUUAUUGCUAACUGGAACCUCCUGGUAGUUCCAGGAGGAACUCCCUGGGAGUCCAUGGUGGCAUUUGGUGGAGGGGACUCUGAGCUUCCUGAGUCC